UGUUUUCAGUUCAUGAAAGUUAAUUGUAAAAUUUUUGUCGCCUAAAAACAGCAUAUUCAACGUUCGGUUGUACUUAGCUACACUGUCUUGUGUCACUUCUGGUUGCAAAAAAACAAGUAGCGAUGCCCAAAAUGCCAAAUUUGAGGCUUAAAAACGGCAGUCUAUAACCAAUGGGUGACGUCACGUUGACUACUCUGUUUUGAGGCGAC